GGGGUGCGCAAUAGACUUACCUCCACGUGGUGCACCCUGGCAACGUAUACUUAUACGGCGAAAAGGUAUAC
rnacentral:ribozyme from 1 species